ACAAGCUGUGCCUGCACAUAGCUGUGCAGGGUAGACUGCCUACAUACACAUGGCCGGGAUUCUUUAUUUCCUUGUUAUCAAUUAUAGUGCUUUGUUUGUUUCAGGGUUGGAAUUCUCAACCAGAAAUAAUACUUUCUAAAAUAUUUUAAAAUUCAGCUUGUGCUUUGGAUUAUAGAAGGAAAUUAUACUUUAAGAAAAUGUUCACAAAAAAAAAAAAAAAAAAAGGACUAUUACAGAUCCCAAUACUUGGAUUUGGUGACCUUGUCUUUCUUUCUUUUCUUGAGACAUGGUCCUACUACCAACCCUGGCUGGACUGGAGCUCAGUGUAUAGACCAGGCUAGUCUCAAACUCUGCCUCUUCCUCCCAAGUGCUGGGAUUAAGGGCAGGUACCAUAGUGCUCAGCAACCACAACCCUGUCUUUCCAACACGGCCCUAGCGUAAGCACUGAGGCAGUGUGCAGUGCUCAGGCAGCAGCAAACAUUUCCCGGGGGUGGUUUUGAACCUGCUUGGGUGGUUGUGUGGUGCUGACGCUGCCACUGCCCUGUUGUUCAUUGAGAAUGAUUGUUAAAUGACACUCUUCCUUUAGAAUAUAACGGAUCAGUACUCAUGUUUAAUUGCCAUGCUUAAUAAAUCAUGAGAACAAAAGAGUAUAGAAUGGAAAGCAUUCCCUGGUAGCUACUUUAAAUACAGGAGCCCUGUAACUUAAUACCAGUAGUCAACCACUGGAUCUCAGUUUUCAUCAAGUAUUUUAAAUAAAUAAUCUUAAAUUUUAAAAUACGUACUGCAGAGUAUGCCAGUAUCUUAUUGUUAAAACUGAAUCAAAUAAAUCUUCGAUUCCUGGUUAUUUGGACCAUUGACUCAUCAUGGACUAUAUAAUGUAAUAAGAUUCUUUUCUCUUAAGGUAUCCUUGAAUUACACCAAAGAACCAGAAACUUAAUUUUGGUUAAAUUAUUUAUUUAUUUCAUGCAUUAAUUUUCUUUUUCUUUUUAAAGGUUUAGAUGAGGCUCCUUAGGGAGUCUCUAAAACCGCUUCACUAUCAGCAACCAGGAGUACUAGAAGCCAGAGCACUCUUCCUCCUGGCUCCUCCCCAGUGCUCUAGUGCUGUAGGAACCAAGAGCCAGCCCCAGGUUCCCCGAGGCAGUAAAAAUCCAGCACAGGGGGCUGUGUCCCUAAGGCAAGCCCUGAUUACCUUUAAAAAAAACCAAAAAAACAAACAAAAAAAAAAAACCUAAUUAACUAAAGCAUUUAAGGCACUAUUUAUUUUAGAAUCAUGCUUUUGAAGAGCAUCAGUGAUUACUUAGGGUGUAAUAUGUAAAGAUCAGACAUCUCCAAAAACAGAAAAAGUACAAGUAAACAACACACUUUCUCAUGACUUUUAAGAACUGUAGUAAUGUGGCUUAGGAAAUAUAAUGGCCUAAUUGUUUUCAAAAUGUAAGUUCCUGUGAAGAAUUUUGUUUAUAUUGGGUUGGGGACCUAUAGGUUUAAAAUAGAAUGUCAGUCAGCUGACUUAAAAAACAUUGGUUUUACUAAGUCUGCCUUCCCCUUCUAAGGAAGAACUGAGUGGGUAAGGGACAGGUGUGUAAAAUCUCCAAAUGGAUGUUACAGCUUUCAGCUUGAACGUUUGUUUCCAGACCUGAUUAAAAUUUGGUUUAUUCUAAUUUCUGUACUAUAUCAUCUGAGGUUUUAAGUGGUAACUGGUUCUAUACCAUGUAUGUAUCAUAUGUUUGUUCAUCAAAGCUUUUUAAUCCAAAUAAAAACAACAGUUUGCAAAGUG
rnacentral:lncRNA from 1 species